CUUUACCUCAGCAGCUAUAAAAGGAAUGCCCCCGCCGCCGGAGUUCCCUCCGCUCUUGUUGCCCUUAGCUUCUCUCGCUACCUGCUCAAGCUCCUAGCGCCAUACACCAAGUCCUGAGGAGCUCUGCUCUCAGAUUCUCUCAGUUUUCUCCAAGUCACCCAGCAGCUUGCUCCCCGUGCUGCGUAAGAGCUCUCUUGUGUUCCGCAAGAAGCAGCGCCGCCGCCGGAGCAUUGCCAGUCUUAGCCCUUGCUCGAAGCCUUAGUUCCUCCGCCCAAGUCUGCUUCUUCCCGACCCCAAGCUUUCCUUUCAGGAAGAAGGUGAGUUGCCGACCCCCAGUCCACCUCGCCCGACCCCUCCUAUCCGCCCGACCCCAGUUCCGUCUCGUCCGACCCCGUCUGUUCGGCCGACCCUUAUCCGCCUCGCCCGAGGGCUUGGCUGUGAUCUUUUUCUUCAACUCGAGGGUGUAUGUGUAAAACUUGGGAAACCUUCAGCGCUUGCGUCUAAGGACCCCGGGUUUCUCACGUCCUCUAGUUCAAGGAUCAGACCACUAGUUCUUUUUCCACCCUUACCUUUUGGUUA
rnacentral:lncRNA from 1 species